rnacentral:rRNA from 1 species
UACGGGGGGAGCAAGCGUUGUUCGGAUUUACUGGGCGUAAAGGGCGCGUAGGCGGCCACCGCAAGUCGACUGUGAAAUCUCCGGGCUUAACUCGGAACGGUCAAGUGAUACUGUCGUGCUAGAGUACAGAAGGGGCAACUGGAAUUCUCGGUGUAGCGGUGAAAUGCGUAGAUAUCGAGAGGAACACCUGCGGCGAAGGCGGGUUGCUGGGCUGAUACUGACGCUGAGGCGCGAAAGCCAGGGGAGCGAACGGG